rnacentral:tRNA from 1 species
AAGGCUUUAGCUUAAUUAAAGUGUCUGUUUUGCAAAUAGAAGAUGUGGGUUAGUGUCACGUAAGUCUUA